rnacentral:rRNA from 1 species
AUUGAACGCUGGCGGCGUGCUUAACACAUGCAAGUCGUGCGGUAACAGGCGUAGCAAUACGUGCUGACGAGCGGCGAACGGGUGCGUAAUACAUGGGAAUCUGCCUUUUAGUGGGGGAUAACCCGGCGAAAGCCGGGCUAAUGCCGCAUAAGAUCUUCGGAUGAAAGCGGGGGAUCGUAAGACCUCGCGCUGAUAGAUGAGCCCAUGCCGGAUUAGCUAGUUGGUGAGGUAACGGCUCACCAAGGCGACGAUCCGUAGCUGGUCUGAGAGGACGGCCAGCCACACUGGGACUGAGACACGGCCCAGACUCCUACGGGAGGCAGCAGUGGGGAAUAUUGGACAAUGGGGAAACCCUGAUCCAGCGACGCCGCGUGUGUGAAGAAGGCCUGCGGGUU